rnacentral:lncRNA from 1 species
AGCAGCCAAAAACUCUACUUCGACGAAAGAGUAAAAACCCUAAUCUAAAGAAUGUAAAAACGCAGAGAGUCUGAAAAGUGUCUCGGUCUCUAAAAUUGUAGAAGUCUGUUUUACAAUACAAAAGCCCCUUAUAUAGGGUUGAAGAAAGAAGAAAAAAAAAUGAAAGAUGGAAUAGGGAAGAAGAAACUUGUUCGUGACGCUUUCUUUCUUCAAUCGGACGACCCUCUUCACCUUGCUCACGAGCUCACAUCUUGUCCAUCCAAUCCUCUCCAACGCAGCUCCGGUCAUCUCUGGGCAGGACGAGACGUGCUCCAGAUCCAGCUUCAACUUGCUUGCUCUUCUUUUCUUUGCCCUAGCUCGAAAGGUUUCUCUCCUUUCAUCGAAUGAAAUUCUCGAGAGCUUGUAUGCGUCAAAUGAAAUGCGCCAACCAGGAACCCCUCCAACAGCUUCAGCUAUCAAAACUCACCGUUUCGCUUAAAGGAGCAAGCCCAAAUAGAGAAGCCCAAUUCCAGGCAGCACUUGCUGCAACAGCAGCGACAAUUGGGGGUUACUCCCUGUACCUCCCCAAUUCCAACCCUCACCCCCCAUUCCAUUUUUACCCUUUGCUCUAUUUUUUCUAUUCCAAUUUUAUCCUUUAGCAAAAAUUUAUAUUUAGAAAUAAAAUUUUAUAAUUUUAUUCUCCCACCCCCACAAAACCUAUUUAUUCAUUUUUUUUUUAUCUUCAUGCUUUC